rnacentral:rRNA from 1 species
UGAGUACGAGCUGCUACGGCAGCGAAGUGGGGAUGUCAAGCUUCCAAGAAAAGCCCUAUACCCGUUAAGGCAUGAUGGCCUGUACCCGAAACCGACACAGGUGGGGUGGUAGAGAAUACCGAGGGGCGCGAGGUAACUCUCUCUAAGGAACUCGGCAAAAUGGCCCCGUAACUUCGGGAGAAGGGGUGCCACCGCAAGGUGGUCGCAGUGAAGAGGCCCAGGCGACUGUUUACCAAAAACACAGGUCUCCGCUAAGUCGCAAGACGAUGUAUGGGGGCUGACGCCUGCCCAGUGCCGGAAGGUUAAGGAAGCUGGUCAGCGCAAGCGAAGCUGGCGACUGAAGCCCCGGUGAACGGCGGCCGUAACUAUAACGGUCCUAAGGUAGCGAAAUUCCUUGUCGGGUAAGUUCCGACCCGCACGAAAGGCGUAACGAUCUGGGCGCUGUCUCGGAGAGAGGCUCGGCGAAAUAGAAUUGUCUGUGAAGAUGCGGACUACGUGCACCCGGACAGAAAGACCCUAUGAAGCUUUACUGUAGCUUGGUAUUGUGCCCGGGCUCUGAAUGCGCAGGAUAGGUGGGAGGCUUUGAUCCAUUGCUUGUGGGUGAUGGUGAGCCACUGGUGAGAUACCACUCUUUCAGAGCUAGGGUUCUAACGGUCACCCGUUAUCCGGGGACCGGACAGUAUCAGGUGGGCAGUUUGACUGGGGCGGUUGCCUCCUAGAAGGUAACGGAGGCGCGCAAAGGUUCCCUCAGGCUGGUUGGAAAUCAGCCGACGAGUGUAAAGGCAGAAGGGAGCUUGACUGUGAGACCUACAAGUCGAACAGGGACGAAAGUCGGCCUUAGUGAUCCGACGGUUCUGAGUGGAAGGGCCGUCGCUCAACGGAUAAAAGUUACUCUAAGGAUAACAGGCUGAUCUCCCCCAAGAGUUCACAUCGACGGGGAGGUUUGGCACCUCGAUGUCGGCUCAUCGCAACCUGGGGCUGAAGUCGGUCCCAAGGGUUGGGCUGUUCGCCCAUUAAAGCGGUACGCGAGCUGGGUUCAGAACGUCGUGAGACAGUUCGGUCCAUAUCCGGUGCACGCGCAGGAACAUUGAGAGGAUUUCUCCCUAGUACGAGAGGACCGGGAGGAACGCACCUCUGGUGUACCAGUUAUCGUGCCAACGGUAAACGCUGGGUAGCCAUGUGCGGAGUGGAUAACCGCUGAAAGCAUCUAAGUGGGAAGCCCACCUCAAGAUGAGUGUUCCCAUGGCAUAAGCCAGUAAGGUCACGGGAAGAACACCCGUUGAUAGGCUCUACGUGGAAGCGUGGCAACACGUGAAGCGGAGGAGUACUAAUAGACCGAGGGCUUGAC